UCCUCCCCUCCUAUUUAAACUCCUCUUCUUUAUCCUUUCUUCUCAACAUGGAGCCUAGCACUGCUCUUUCUAUAGCUAGCAAAAGACUUUAUAUAUAGGGCUCUCGCUGUGUAUAGUUAGUCUUUCAUGGUGUUUUUCAGGUUCAAUUGUUGUUUUUAAGGCCACAAGGAAGUGUUUAUUGUUUUUAUUUUUUCAUUUUUGGUGCUCCACCAUCAGAUGAAGCUGCCAGCAUGAUCUUAAUUUCCCUUCUUUUUUCAAUCGAGGAAAAGAUCAGAUCAUGUGGCAGUUUCACCUGUUGCUGCUAGCACAAUAUCCAAAAAAAAAAAAACCCUAAUUUCUCUCAAAAUGAAACCCUAAUUCUGACUCCUUUCUCUUUUGCUAACACCGGUACACCACCAUUCCUGUUUUCUCUCAAUCCCUAGAAAUGGGUGGUCAUAUCAAAACCUUAACAUUUUCCAUGAUUUCAAGAUCCCUUAACACUGCUUUGGUGAUUGAGCCUUCUCUCAGUCUCUGGUAUUAUCUUUAAACCAUCCGUACAGUUUUCCCUUCAAUAAAAUUUAAUAUCUCAGUAUAUCUAUUGGUUUUAUUUCUACUGUAUGAUCAGCUGUUUGUUUAGGGUUUUUCAUGACAUAUGUAUGCUUGCUCCUCAAUUCUUUCGGAGCCCAACAUUUCGUUAUAAUUCUAUAAGGGAUAUCAUAAGCACACAGCCUUUUCAUUUCGUUAUACCAUGUAUGUAUAUAGGUAGGUAGGUAUUGGCAUAGCCAGUGCUUGUUUCUGAUGUGAGGCUGGUUUAUUUCAAUCGAUCUACAGCAGAUUUACAAAACCAGAGGGAGAGAAAUAAAUUAGAGACAUUAGUCCUUUUUUUGGCACUACCUGGGAAUUUCAUAGAGUGAUGGAAACCCCUGCUGGAAAAUCCAAAGAUCUCCAAGGGAAAUAGAUAAACUCCCUAAAUAAAUUACAAAGAGGCCUUAAUUUAUGUGCCCUGUGAAGGCUUGGAAGUUGGGAACCUGCUCUUUUUUAUGCCUGAAACUAAGUCCAAAGUAUCCUUUGGCAGCUUGGAUCCAGCUUAUUCGACUACCAAUUCUCAGAGAGAAGGGAGACAGGGAUAAAUUUAUACAUUUUUUUUCUGCUCUUUUUUACUAGUUCACGACGUUAUUUCGAACACAGUACAAGAUGCAUUACAGAAUCAUAGAUAUAUACAAGUUCAGUUGAGAUAUGGGAAUUAGCAGUAGAAUGGAAAACUUAUUUCAUAACUGGUGAAUCUAGCUAACAUAUCUUUUCUUUUUGGGAGUAAUUAUUGCUGCUGUGCUGUUUUAUGCUAA